ACUAUCCUAGCGGGCCCUUGCCUUAGACGUGGGGGUAGUAAGGACGAAGUCUCUCUAUAUAUAGGGAUCGAGGCGGAUCGGUUACUAGCCGGAAGAGGAGCCCUCUGCUGGCGUUUAAAGAUAUUCGGAGAAAACUGGUUGUGCCAAUAUACUUUUUUGACCCACUGUACAUCGUUUGGACAUUACGCACGCAUUAAUUGCGUUAGAAACUGUAACGCAUUCCACAUUUAUUAACUAGUGCGUCCAGAUUAACUGUGGCAUUAAAUCGUAAUGCAUUUCCGAGCGAGGAUUACAAUCGUAAAUCUAAUUAGGCGUGCACUUGCGUGACAGCGUGGAAAUUUGAUACAACGAAAGACGGAAUCGAUUCUAUAAAUAACUGCAGUGUUCUGUACUUUCUUGAUUCCAUUAAUAGUGGGAGAAUGCAUCACGCGAUCUUCUCUCACCCUGCACAAUGCUGUAUUUGUUGCUGUAUCGGGUACUAUGUUGAACUGGAAAUUGAAUUUGUAACAGGAAAAAUGGAUAGCAAAAUGUAUUUGGAAAUAAUUAACUCAAGCCGAGCACGAAGGACUCAAUCCCGCAGUCAUUGACGUGGACAUUCAACAAGUGGUCGACGAUUCAUCAAAGACAGCAUAAACUCCAAGGACUCCGUACGUACGCUAAUUUGACAGCGCCUGCUUCGCGAAACGACGGAGGACUUUCUAAACCGAUUCGUUAGAACGAAGACGCAGUAAACAAUUUUAUCGAAGAUAAUAUUCAUUCAACUGACAUCGUAUUGCGCGUAUAAAGAAUUGAUAGUUUAUGACCGUUUGAUGUCUUAGAGGUGACUAAUAGAGAAGUAUAAACGCUGCUUGAUUGCGGAAGCUACUUAAUCCGAAUCAUAAAUACAAGUCUGAUGUCUAUACUAGCUGACCAUCGGUAUUGAAACUUCGUAUGCACGUUGCCUUGUCAAAAUUAAUUUCUGAAACGGUCGAUGAACUGAUAACCGCGAACUGGUAUAUUUUAGGUAACAGGUAUUACAACGAAUAGAAAUUAUUCGUACACCUUUUAACACGGAAUAGCCUUUUUAUAAUUGGGUCAAGCGGCUGAGUUUGUUUAAAAUUAUUAGAGGGAUUAGUUUACUAGG